UCAAGAUCAGCCAUUUUCGCCCGUUUCAUCCUCUUCUGUGCAAAAGAAAUCACGAGACCAACGCAAACUGCUGUUAGCAAUCAACUAAGAUACACUGCAUCCUAUGCUGAUCGAAACAGGGUAGCUGGUCGUCUCGUUUCCUGGGACGAAAUUCACAAAGUGAGGCGCCAUGGCGGUGACAGCAUCAAAGCGCGUCCGCUUCCAUCUCUCUCCUACGAAAACAAAACUCGUCUUCUGUUGCGUCUUACCUAUCGUUGAAUUUAUGCUCCAAACCUUCUUUUCACUACACGUUGUAACACAGUGGGGUAAAUUACAAUGGAAGUAACUGUGUUGAUUGUAUAGUCAACCCUCACUAGUCCAAAUCCUCGCUAAUCUGAAUCCUUGGGCCUUGCAUACCCGAUCCUAUUGGUCAGCCUGAUUCGGGUUGCGGUUAUCUGGUUGCAGUUAUCUGGUUGCAGUUAUCUAGUUUUUAGCAAAUGCUAACAGUAGUGGGACUAUUUUAAAUUGUGACUGUCACAUUAUUUAGAAGUACAUUGCAGCAAUGUCGUUUGCCUCAAACAUUGAUAUGUGUAGAGGCAUAUGUAAAUGCGCUAGUGGUCUGGGUGUCACGGGCAAGGUCUAGACCUCCAAGGCUACGUGUUUGGCAGUUUUGGUAAUCCGAACAACUUCACUAAUCUGAACAGGGUUUGGCAAAGGACUGUUUGGGUUAGCGAGGUUCUACUGUAUGUACUGAAAUUUAGUCACAUCUAUUAGUAGCCUAAAUUGGCUUUGCAUGAAUCCAGAAAUGCUAGUAGUAGUGGGAUGUGUGUUCACAUGUACUUGUGUCAGCAAACGGUUUAUUGCUAUUUGAGUUGGUUUUAUUAUUGCCAAUACUCGUAGAAGGUAAGCAAAACCUCUCUUACAAAAUUGCCAUCAAUAUAUCUCAGUUUCAAUUGCACUUGUUGCUGAAGAUAUGUACCUCUUGUGGUCGUUUUAGCCUAAUAGUGCUGAAAUGACUGUAUUACUUUAAAAUAUUCAAUUUUUGUAGAAUGCAUUGGUGCAAGCUGAAGUCGCUGAAUCGAAGAAGCAAGUGAAGAAACUAGAAGCUGAAUUACUGAAGAUUCAGAGUCAGAAGUCUUAUGAAGACAUGACGGUUGAUGAAGUUCUGGAUCUUUAUCCAGACCUGAAAAGAGAAGUCGAUGAAGAACUAAAGCGUGGUGAAUGGUACUAAACAUUUACUUCACUGAUAUUGUAUUUUGACUCCCAUUUGAUUGCCUUGUGGUAUGGAUAAGUGUAUAUGUGGCUAUAAAAGAAACCAACAAGAUA